rnacentral:lncRNA from 1 species
GUAAUCUGGCUAUAUAGUGUGGUUACUUAUGUGCCACUUGAUCUCCUCAAAUUUGCAAUUCGCUACAUUCUGAGCGGCAAGGCCUGGGAUAAUCUUUUGGAGAACAAGGUGCGUUUUCCUUUUUUGGGUAAAAUGGAAUCCUGAGUGAAAUUACUUCUUCUACUGAUCAUUCGUUUUUCUUCUUAAAACAGACUGCCUUUACAACAAAGAAAGACUACGGAAAAGAAGAGAGAGAAGCCCAAUGGGCCACAGCUCAGAGGACACUUCAUGGCCUUCAACCACCCGAAACCAACAACUUCUUUGGUGAAAAGAGUGGUUACAGGGAGCUUUCAGAGAUCGCAGAGCAAGCCAAGCGACGGGCGGAGGUUGCAAGG